UACAGAGGGGGCAAGCGUUGUUCGGAAUUACUGGGCGUAAAGGGCGCGUAGGUGGCGCCGCAAGUCCAUGGUGAAAGCUCGAUGCUCAACAUCGAGUCGGCCACGGAGACUGCGGGGCUCGAGCACUGUAGGGGCAGAUGGAAUUCCGGGUGUAGCGGUGGAAUGCGUAGAGAUCCGGAAGAACACCGGUGGCGAAGGCGGUCUGCUGGGCAGUUGCUGACACUGAGGCGCGACAGCGUGGGGAGCAAACAGG
rnacentral:rRNA from 1 species